GGCGCGCGGGCGGUCCGUGUGUAGAGACGCAGCAGCCAGUCGCUUCCUCCCUACGGCUCCCUACCCCUCCGUAGUGAUGGAGGACCUCGCUGCUCUCCUCUCCUCCCUGGGCGGAUCUGCGAGGCGAAAGAGAAACUGGGCGCUGUCCCUUUCCGUUCCCCUCCACAGCAGCUCCUAACCCCCGCCGGCGGCGAGGCAGCGACAAGAUCCACUGUCAUCUAGGACGAAGCGGUGCGAGCUCGGCACACUUCUGUCCUCCCUAAGCGGAUUUGCGACACGGAGGAGGAUCUGGGCGCCCUCCCCUGCUCUGUUCCCCUCCAACCUCGGCGGUUCUUACCUGACCGCACAGGGCGUCGACGCAGGCACGAACACCAGCAUCUGGAGGCACUACAGGGACUCUUGGAGAAAUAUUUCAUAAUCCUCAUGUCCUUCAUCUUCUUCUACCUGUGAGUAACAAACUUACCGAUCAUCUUAUGUAUGGUUGGUUGCAGGUCCGAGCACGGAGUGUACAACCUUGGGCGUCUGCUGAUGGCACGAUGAAUCGGUACCGUGGGUACUAGAUCCAAUAGGAGUGGAUGCAGGACACAGGAAUCAUUUGUCAGCCUGCAGGUCUGCAAAUCUGGUUGCCUACAGAAGUUAACUCUUCUAAGUAGUACAUACAAUUUAUCUCUAAAUUCACACCGGGGCGACCGAUGCAUGUGCAGCAACGGCGACAGGUUGGUCCCUGUAGGCACAUGAUCAACAUAAUUUGAAUUUUGUAACAACUAUGGGUGAUGUAAGUAAUACAGAUAGGGUUUUCCAAAUUAUCUCUAUUGUUUCAUCCUGUUGAUAGAUGCACGAGUGAACAUUUCGUUUCCUUUUCAUAGUUAAAAAUUGAAAAUGGCGCCUUUAAGAAACAUGGGUUGGUAUACUGUAGUUGGCAUGUGGUUCAAAUUUCUGCUGGAUUUCAGAUUCUGUUUUGUUCUUGAUAAGCUUUCAGCUUUCAUGUAAUUUUAUCAUUAAAUUGCUUGCCAUCUUUGCUCUUAUGCUCUAUAACUGAAUGUACUUAGGCAGUUAGGCUCGAAACACAGAAUAUGAUGGUCUAUAUUCAGGUUGCUAUACAUGAUAAUCUCUGUUUCUACCAUGUAAGUAAUUCCAUGGUGAAAAUGAAGGGAAGGAUGCAACAAAUUUGCAAGCAUAUGCUGUCAGCUGAUGCCUAAAAGUUUGUCAGGAAAUCAAGUUCGUGAUAUAAGAUUUUUGACAUGCAACGCUUUAAAUUGGCAGUAUUGUUCUCAGGGUCGACAAAUUAUUCAGAGACCUUAAAACCUUGAAUGCUUAUCAUUGAGCAGGCAUGCCAUAUAUCGGUACGGUAAUACUUCUAUCAUGGUAAAUAGAGGUGGAUGGGCCAAACAAAAUUUCUCAUUUGUUAGCAUUAACUUUUUUAUGUUAAGCCUCUUGAACAUACUAAGCACACUGUAUUGCUCAAAUCUUUGUGGGUUGAAAUUUAAACCAUACAAUUAUUUCAAGGUACAAAUGCACAUGUAGCUGUUAUUUCUAUGGUAAGCACUCUACAGUACCAUACAUCUUUUUAAUGGAUGUGCUAUAAAAGAAAAAUACCUUACUAAAUGGCUAGUAAAGUGGCAGUAGUUUACACAACGCUUAUUUCAGCGUUUUUCUGAAACCUUGAUUUACUAUUCACAUGAAUAAUGAAGCUUUCUAAUUCUACGGUCUCUCUUGAAGAGCGGCAGGAUCUAGCGGUGUUCGCAUGGUGGGUUCUUGAUGCAGGAAUGGAUUUGUACCAACGACUACAAAAGGGAGAAGCUGCUCCCCACCCUUGACAGGUACAACUCUACCCAAGCUGAAGACUGGGAUCAACUGAUGAUGAUGCAUAUAGGGUGUGCUGAUUGAAUUGGAAACAUAGCGAUGAUAUAGUUACAUUGAGCUCUAACUGGUAUUAUGAAAAUUCCAGAAUUGGUGUUUACAGUGGAACAAUGUGCUACCUGUUUACCUUGUGAGAUAUUGUUAUUGUAUGAAAAAUCCAGAAUUUAUGUUUACGGUGCACUGGAUACUAUAUGGGUACUGUGUGCUUCUGCAUGUAUGAUGUUUAACUGUUUAUAUUGUA